rnacentral:rRNA from 1 species
AUGGUGAGUAGUAGCUCUGCCAACCCUGCCAGUAGCAACAACUCAAUGAGCAGCAGGAGCACACUACAGAUGUUGAUCGACAAAACUUGCUGGAAAGACAAGAAUCUGCCAAAGUCAAAGAAAAAUGAUGAAGCGGAGUCUCAUGGGAAGGGGAAGAUUCCUCUGUCAACAGCCCCACCUAAACCAGCUAAGCAUCAAAAAAUUGUCAGGUUUGCCAAGGGCACAAAGGAGGAACAGGGCAGAAAAGGUGUGGGGUUCAGACACAAGACAGAACAACGUGCCACAACCAUUGAUGUGGGACUGCCAAGUUCUGCUAGUUUGGUGCCAACUCAGGUUGCAAAGGUGCCAACUGCAGAUACCAAUGUGCCAACUGAAGUGUCAAUUAGCACGCAGGUCACAGUCAAAACUAGCACAGUUGCUCAGGAAGACUCAACUGCAACCGCAAGCCCCAAGGUGCCAUCUCAUAGAGAUUCUUCAAUGCCAAACAAGAAAGGAGGUUGUCAAUCUGUCAAACUUCCGUCUCCAAGAGCUAUCACAGAGCAUCCAAGCAAGCUUGCAUCACCAAGAGCUGAUUUUCAGAACACAUUAACACAAGAGGAGGUGUUCAACAUUGUAAGCAGGUGCAAGCCUCCCAGGCCGCCAACCACAACAUUCAGAUCAAAUUCUUACAUCUAUCAUGGUGAUGGGUACGGCGAUGCACCACCCUUUGACCUGGGCAUAGAGGAUGAUGUUGGGCCUACUAGAGCACUUGCUCUAGCAACACAAAUAGGGGAAGCCAACAUGGUUGUCAUAGAUGAGGAUGAGUUGGACCCAGCAACAGUGAACGAAGGAUGCAUUGCUGCUGAUGCUGGCAAGGGAUUAGCUCACCAGCCAGAUGUUGGAUCACCAGACAACUGCCACACCCCGAUAUGCGGAGAACCAGCAGUUGGCACGAGCAGUUCUUCAGGACCACCUGUUGCACGAAGAUAG